rnacentral:rRNA from 1 species
GGGAUUGCCCCAGUAACGGCGAGUGAAGCGGCAACAGCUCAAAUUUGAAAUCUGGUCCCCAGGGCCCGAGUUGUAAUUUGUAGAGGAUGCUUUUGGCGAGGCGCCUUCCGAGUUCCCUGGAACGGGACGCCACAGAGGGUGAGAGCCCCGUCUGGUCGGAUGCCAAGCCUAUGUAAAGCUCCUUCGACGAGUCGAGUAGUUUGGGAAUGCUGCUCAAAAUGGGAGGUAUAUGUCUUCUAAAGCUAAAUAUUGGCCAGAGACCGAUAGCGCACAAGUAGAGUGAUCGAAAGAUGAAAAGCACUUUGAAAAGAGGGUUAAAAAGUACGUGAAAUUGUUGAAAGGGAAGCGCCUAUGACCAGACUUGGGCCCGGUGAAUCAUCCAGCGUUCUCGCUGGUGCACUUUGCCGGGCACAGGCCAGCAUCAGUUUGGCGCGGGGGAUAAAGGUUUCGGGAACGUGGCUCCCUCGGGAGUGUUAUAGCCCGUUGCGUAAUACCCUGCGCUGGACUGAGGUACGCGCUCCGCAAGGAUGCUGGCGUAAUGGUCAUCAGCGACCCGUCUUGAAACACGGACCAAGGAGUCGUCUUCGUAUGCGAGUGUUCGGGUGUUAAACCCCUACGCGUAAUGAAAGUGAACGCAGGUGAGAGCUUCGGCGCAUCAUCGACCGAUCCUGAUGUUCUCGGAUGGAUUUGAGUAAGAGCAUACGGGGCCGGACCCGAAAGAAGGUGAACUAUGCCUGUAUAGGGUGAAGCCAGAGGAAACUCUGGUGGAGGCUCGCAGCGGUUCUGACGUGCGAAUCGAUCGUCAAAUAUGGGCAUGGGGGCGAAAGACUAAUCG